AUAGUCCUGAGAUGUGCGACACUCCUGUUAUUUUGAACCUACAUGAUGUAAUACGGGAUUCCUACAUCUAUAAGUGGAUGUCAGGCCGCCGUUUGCAGCGGAAGGCAGAAGCUUAUGUGCGGUUACCCACCUAGCUUAGCUAGGAGUCAAAAUACAGGAAACGGCAUUUCGGGUAUAAU
rnacentral:other from 1 species